rnacentral:rRNA from 1 species
AUUGAACGCUGGCGGCAGGCCUAACACAUGCAAGUCGAGCGGAUGAAGGGAGCUUGCUCCUGGAUUCAGCGGCGGACGGGUGAGUAAUGCCUAGGAAUCUGCCUGGUAGUGGGGGAUAACGUCCGGAGACGGGCGCUAAUACCGCAUACGUCCUGAGGGAGAAAGUGGGGGAUCUUCGGACCUCACGCUAUCAGAUGAGCCUAGGUCGGAUUUGCUAGUUGGUGGGGUAAAUGCCUACCAAGGCGACGAUCCGUAACUGGUCUGAGAGGAUGAUCAGUCACACUGGAACUGAGACACGGUCCAGACUCCUACGGGAGGCAGCAGUGGGGAAUAUUGGACAAUGGGCGAAAGCCUGAUCCAGCCAUGCCGCGUGUGUGAAGAAGGUCUUCGGAUUGUAAAGCACUUUAAGUUGGGAGGAAGGGCAGUAAGUUAAUACCUUGCUGUUUUGACGUUACCAACAGAAUAAGCACCGGCUAACUUCGUG